GAUGAACGCUGGCGGCGUGCCUAAUACAUGCAAGUCGAGCGAACAGACGAGGAGCUUGCUCCUCUGACGUUAGCGGCGGACGGGUGAGUAACACGUGGAUAACCUACCUAUAAGACUGGGAUAACUUCGGGAAACCGGAGCUAAUACCGGAUAAUAUAUUGAACCGCAUGGUUCAAUAGUGAAAGACGGUUUUGCUGUCACUUAUAGAUGGAUCCGCGCCGCAUUAGCUAGUUGGUAAGGUAACGGCUUACCAAGGCGACGAUGCGUAGCCGACCUGAGAGGGGGAUCGGCCACACUGGAACUGAGCCACGGUCCAGACUCCUACGGGAGGCAGCAGUAGGGAAUCUUCCGCAAUGGGCGAAAGCCUGACGGAGCAACGCCGCGUGAGUGAUGAAGGUCUUCGGAUCGUAAAACUCUGUUAUUAGGGAAGAACAAAUGUGUAAGUAACUAUGCACGUCUUGACGGUACCUAAUCAGAAAGCCACGGCUAACUACGUG
rnacentral:rRNA from 1 species